rnacentral:rRNA from 1 species
CCUACGGGCGGCAGCAGUGGGGAAUAUUGGACAAUGGGCGAAAGCCUGAUCCAGCCAUGCCGCGUGUGUGAAGAAGGCCUUCGGGUUGUAAAGCACUUUCAGUGGGGAAGAAAGCCUUGGGGCUAAUACCCUCGAGGAAGGACAUCACCCACAGAAGAAGCACCGGCUAACUCCGUGCCAGCAGCCGCGGUGAUACGGAGGGUGCGAGCGUUAAUCGGAAUUACUGGGCGUAAAGCGCGCGUAGGCGGUCUGAUAAGCCGGUUGUGAAAGCCCCGGGCUCAACCUGGGAACGGCAUCCGGAACUGUCAGGCUAGAGUGCAGGAGAGGAAGGUAGAAUUCCCGGUGUAGCGGUGAAAUGCGUAGAGAUCGGUAGGAAUACCAGUGGCGAAGGCGGCCUUCUGGACUGACACUGACGCUGAGGUGCGAAAGCGUGGGUAGCAAACAGGAUUAGAUACCCGAGUAGUC